rnacentral:rRNA from 1 species
UACGAAGGGUGCAAGCGUUACUCGGAAUUACUGGGCGUAAAGCGUGCGUAGGUGGUUUGUUAAGUCUGUUGUGAAAGCCCCGGGCUCAACCUGGGAAUGGCGAUGGAUACUGGCUCGCUAGAGUGCGGUAGAGGAGAGUGGAAUUCCCGGUGUAGCAGUGAAAUGCGUAGAGAUCGGGAGGAACACCAGUGGCGAAGGCGGUUGCCUGGGGCUUUGCUGACGCUGAUGCGCGAAAGCGUGGGGAGCGAUCCGG